rnacentral:lncRNA from 1 species
ACAGACACCCCAGACAUUGGAUCUACUAAGGGUGAUAAGGGUGACAGCACUGCUAACAGAAGGGGGCCGAGCAAGGAUGACACACACUGGAAGGAGAUCAACGCAGCCAUGGCCUUAACAAACCUCGCCCAGGGAAAAGACGAAGCGCAGGGGACGACCACCAGUUGCAUCAUCCAGAAGUCUUCCCACAUAGCAGAAGUAAAGACAGUCAAGCUGCCACUGGUGCAGCACUUCUAGAGUGGCCAGGGAGUGCUGGGCUUGUCAGUGGGUUUGUUUGUUUGUUUGUUGUUUGUUGUUUGUUGUUUGUUUUUUACCGUAAUCCUCAUCCUAAGAGCCAAAGCAGGGGUGAAGAGGACUCCCAUUUAAACCUCCUGAGUUCAACUAUCCUAAAUAUAUCCGUUGCUUCUAUAAAAAGAUGUAUAAGUUAUAAAAAUUCAUUUUAGUCAAAAAUAUUAACUUAUUUUAUGUUACUGAAACUAUGCAUAAAGCGUCUGCAUUGCCAUUACAGUAAGUGCCUUGCUUCCCUGAGGUAAGCUCCAACGUGGGCACAGUGGAGCGCUGUGCCUCAAACUGUCAACGCCAAUACUUGCUAGACUACAUCACUCCAGACUGGCCCAGGACUGAAGCCAAUCGCGGAAAGCUCCCGAAACAAACUCAGUCAUUCACACGUUCAAACUUGGAGAUCUGUUCAGCCCAGAUGAGGUGAUCUUUUAUUUGCCUUUUAAUGCCUUCAGGACUGGAAACUGUUCUUUGUGUUUUCCAGGGCGAUGGUGAGAGUUUUAUGUGUGGGUUUUGUUUGCAUAGGCUAGCGCAUCCAAAAUGGAAGGCCCAGCAGGGCCACGUGAUGCGUAUGUUUAAGAAGGGAUGUUUUCAAAUCGGUUUAACAUUGCCAGAGUAUAUUGUCGUGAGGAUUUGUUUUCCCAAGCACUGUUGGAAAGUAUCCCAAAGCCCUUUACAACUAAUUGGGAUUUUUUUUCCUGAGGUUUUAAAAAGAACCUUAUUAUAUAAAUCUUUGAAUUUUUUCCUGAGGAAAACUAAACCUAAAGUUUAGUUUUAAAUUAUAAUCUUGUUUGCACUAGAGCUCAGGGUUCCUUUGUGAUGGAAGCAGCUUUCAUAUGGAGUAACUAAAAGCGUUUUAUUUGGUUCAUUUCUUUUUUUAACGGAUUUUUUUUUUUUUUUCGGAGCUGGGGACCGAACCCAGGGCCUUGCGCUUCCUAGGUAAGCGCUCUACCACUGAGCUAAAUCCGCAGCCCCUUAUUUGGUUCAUUUCAAAUCCCAGUUCAGAUGGACAAUUUGUAUUGCAAUGAGAACAAGACAACGAAGAAAAUAAUCUGUGUGUGUGGAUAUACAUAUACAUGCAGAAGGAUUAAUGUUUAAAAUUUAAAGCGUAUGGGUAACAAAACAUGAAUGGUCUCUGAUUUUUGCCAAGCAGGACAUUCAAGUAAAAAUUAAGUGAAAUCUUGAGUCGAAAGGAAGAAAGUCUUAUUUCUAAAUGUCACUACCACAGAGUGAGAGUAAUGGAUAUCAAGGAAGAAGAGUGUCUUUUCCAUCAAACAAUAACGUCCUCCCCAGCUUCGGAAGACUGCGAACGGAAGGGAUGUGGAGACGCCCAAUAGAAAAGGAAAUCUGGAGAUGCCUUAAUGUAGGAGAGCAAAGGUUUAACGGCAAACUAGGCUCUUGGGGGAAGGGCAUUUUUUCUGGAUAUGUGAUAUAUUUUGUAAUUGGUUUAGGCUGGAAAACAUUUUUGCAAGUGUGAAUGACAUCUGGUUUCACCGCACACACUGACAUUUUUUUCUUCAUUUUACAAAACGCUUUUUACCCUGAAGGUUAAUCUGGUUGCUCAGCAGACACGACGGCCUCGAUGGCCAUCGUAGGACACUUUCUCCUGUAUCAUAGCAUAGUGGGGUGGGGGUUAUCUAGUGUAAUGAAGAUAAUUUGAUAUGAAAAUAUUUUGUAUGUAUAUUUUUACUUUGUUUUCUUAAGUGCCGUUGGCAGUUGCAGUAAGCCCUAGGUGAGAUGUGUAAGUGCUGACUGUAUGAGUGGAUGAAGUAUUGGCUUCUUCUGGUGCAUCCUUGAUACUGGGAUGCGAAGUGGGAGUCACUACAAAACAAGCCUGCCCAGAUGUAUGCGAGGCAGUGAGAAACAAGAAUGAAUACUUCACUCCUUUUCAUACUAUUAUAAGUUAUUCUGGUAUUAAAUAUUUUAAUAAAAAUGUUCUUGUUUUAACAUGUUGCAAUUAGAUAAGUGAACUCUGGGUUGUAUUUUAUUUGAAAUUGUCAUGUUUUAUUUUUUUCUGUCCUUUGGGGGAAAAUUCAGCUAAUUUGUUCUGUAUUAUGAACACAACCAAUGAGAGGAUACUAUCCCAUAAUUUCUGUAAAGUAACAAAGCUUGGAGUCUGGCCUAUGCACACAUGAAAAAUAGGUAAUUAGCAUAUUCUGGGCAAUGUCUCCAAUUGCAAUCAUUUUGAAUUUAUUAUUUUUCUUGUGUUGCUGUUGUUUUAUCUGGAAAUCAGAGUCCCUUGUCCCUCAAAAGAACCUUGAACAAUGCCAAGCCAGCAGCCGAGAGAGAGAGCUUGGCUGACAUGUAAUUUAUAUGAAAGAGAAAGAGACUUGCUCUCAUUUUACAGUUGUAUUUGAAUAAAAUUAAAAUCUGUCAGGAGUUCUUGACAGAUUUAAAAUAAAAGUUCAUUUCUAG